UCGUGCGUAGAGUCCAUUUUUCCGGGGAAUGUCGAAGACGUACUAUGUAGUUCAGAUGUAGAAAGUUCUACUUUUCUUUUAAAUGUUAAAGAAAGUUUCAUAAAAACAAAUUGUAUAGCGAAUGUUCAGUACAAUAGGAAGCGUUAUUUUGUUCAAGCAAAUGGAGCCGAGGCAUAAUAUUUAAAGGAAUGUUAUUCAAAGAAAGCAAAUUCAGACAGCGGUUGCCUGGAUCAACACCCAGUACUGGGAUGCCUGGAACCUGUGUGACGAGGAGGCAGAUCAUGGCUGGAAACCAUUCAGGAAGAAGGAUGUGAGGAAGAAGAAGAAACUGAGGUGGCGUUUCAGGAGGCACAAGACGCUGAAGUUGCCCAGUUGGACAGAUGGUGUCCAUGUGGCUGGUGUAAGGUGGGGUAGGAGGCUUCUGAACCAUGUGUUAGGCCUAGUGCACUUAUGGAUUGUGCUUGUUUGUUAUAAUGAAAUAAGCUUAUAAACUAAACAUAAUAUAUUUUAAAGGUACGUGUUUAUAUCAGUAUCUACAUGUAAAGGGAGCAGACACAGGAAAAAGGUAUUGAAGACCCUUGAUAUGAUAUUGCUGUUUUUGUUUUAGAUUCCAAAGUUAACCCUUUAUUUAAUUUAUCCCUUUUCCCCAAGUAGAAUAAUGCAUGUACUUGUAAUCUGUAUUAUUUUGCUUUGGAGUCGGAAGUUCCAAAAUCACCAGGCAAGUUAUUUGAUUGUAUGUGUUUUAACUACUAGAAAGAUGUAAAUGAUAAGCCUUAAGAUUUAUUUAAAAUUAAUUUAUUGUUUUUUUGUAAAUUAAAAACAGGAACCCUCAUGGACCAAGACUUGAGGGCAUUUGUACAAUCCACCUGUACAACUUUAACUGGUUCUGCAGUCUUUUUCUCCCCACAGCCUCUGCUUGUUCCCUUCUUCUCUUUCUGUCUUCCCUCCAGGAGAGCUCCUCAGGCAUCUCCUGCCUGUAAUUCCUGGGAAAUGCCACCUGCCACCCAUCCUUGGAAGCGUCGCCCAUUCUCAGGAUCUCAUGCGUCACCAUUCAUCACAGUCACAGCGCUUGCAGACAUCUGGAUAAAAGGA